UGAUUCUCAGACAAAGAUGUAGACACUGG
rnacentral:piRNA from 1 species